GCGUACCUUUUGUAUAAUGGGUCAGCGACUUAUAUUCUGUAGCAAGGUUAACCGAAUAGGGGAGCCGGAGGGAAACCGAGUCUUAAUUGGGCGUUAAGUUGCAGGGUAUAGACCCGAAACCCGGUGAUCUAGCCAUGGGCAGGUUGAAGGUUGGGUAACACUAACUGGAGGACCGAACCGACUAAUGUUGAAAAAUUAGCGGAUGACCUGUGGCUGGGGGUGAAAGGCCAAUCAAACCGGGAGAUAGCUGGUUCUCCCCGAAAGCUAUUUAGGUAGCGCCUCGUGAAUUCAUCUCCGGGGGUAGAGCACUGUUUCGGCUAGGGGGCCAUCCCGGCUUACCAACCCGAUGCAAACUGCGAAUACCGGAGAAUGUUAUCACGGGAGACACACGGCGGGUGCUAACGUCCGUCGUGAAGAGGGAAACAACCCAGACCGCCAGCUAAGGUCCCAAAGUCAUGGUUAAGUGGGAAACGAUGUGGGAAGGCCCAGACAGCCAGGAUGUUGGCUUAGAAGCAGCCAUCAUUUAAAGAAAGCGUAAUAGCUCACUGGUCGAGUCGGCCUGCGCGGAAGAUGUAACGGGGCUAAACCAUGCACCGAAGCUGCGGCAGCGACGCUGAUGCGUUGUUGGGUAGGGGAGCGUUCUGUAAGCCUG
rnacentral:rRNA from 1 species